AGAGUUUGAUCCUGGCUCAGAACGAACGCUGGCGGCAGGCUUAACACAUGCAAGUUGAACGGGAUUCAAUUUGUGCUUGCACAGAUUGAUGAGAGUAGCGCACUGGUGAGUAACACGUGGGAACAUACCUUGAAGUGGGGAAUAACGUCUGGAAACGGACGGUAAUACCGCAUAAUCCCUGAGGGGGAAAGAUUUAUCGCUUUAAGAAUGGCCCGCGGAAGAUUAGGUAGUUGGUGGGGUAAAGGCCUACCAAGCCUACGAUCUAUAGCUGGUCUGAGAGGACGAUCAGCCACACUGGAACUGAGACACGGUCCAGACUCCUACGGGAGGCAGCAGUGAGGAAUAUUGGGCAAUGGAGGCAACUCUGACCCAGCCAUGCCGCGUGAGUGAAGAAGGUUUUCGGAUUGUAAAGCUCUUUCGGAUGUGACGAUGAUGACGGUAGCAUCUAAAGAAGCCCCGGCUAACUUCGUGCCAGCAGCCGCGGUAAUACGAAGGGGGCAAGCGUUGUUCGGAAUUACUGGGCGUAAAGGGAGUGUAGGCGGUUUAGUAAGAUAGUGGUGAAAUCCCAGAGCUUAACUUUGGAAUUGCCAUUAUAACUAUUAGACUAGAAUUAUAGAGAGGAUAGUGGAAUACCCAGUGUAGAGGUGAAAUUCGUAGAUAUUGGGUAGAACACCAGUGGCGAAGGCGACUAUCUGGCUAUAUAUUGACGCUGAGGCUCGAAAGCAUGGGGAUCAAACAGGAUUAGAUACCCUGGUAGUCCAUGCUGUAAACGAUGAAUGCUUGUUGUCGGUCAAGGAUCGGUGACGUAGUUAACGCGUUAAGCAUUCCGCCUGGGGAGUACGGUCGCAAGAUUAAAACUCAAAGGAAUUGACGGGGACCCGCACAAGCGGUGGAGCAUGUGGUUUAAUU
rnacentral:rRNA from 1 species